GGACUACUGGGGUAUCUAAUCCUGUUUGCUCCCCACGCUUUCGCGCCUCAGCGUCAGUUACAGACCAGAAAGCCGCCUUCGCCACUGGUGUUCCUCCACAUCUCUACGCAUUUCACCGCUACACGUGGAAUACCGCUUUCCUCUUCUGCACUCAAGCUACACAGUUUCCGAUGCGAACCGGAGUUGAGCUCCGGGCUUUAACACCAGACUUACAUAGCCGCCUGCGCGCGCUUUACGCCCAAUAAAUCCGGACAACGCUUGCCACCUACGUAUUACCGCGGCUGCUGGCAC
rnacentral:rRNA from 1 species